rnacentral:rRNA from 1 species
UACGGGGGGGGCAAGCGUUGCUCGGAAUUACUGGGCGUAAAGGGCUCGUAGGCGGCCAACUAAGUCGGACGUGAAAUCCCUCGGCUUAACCGGGGAACUGCGUCCGAUACUGGAUGGCUUGAGUUCGGGAGAGGGAUGCGGAAUUCCAGGUGUAGCGGUGAAAUGCGUAGAUACCUGGAGGAACACCGGUGGCGAAGGCGGCAUCCUGGACCGACACUGACGCUGAGGAGCGAAAGCCAGGGGAGCAAACGGG